CAGGCUGACCUUCGAAACUACUCUGGGACGUAAGUCAGCACAGCAGGCAACGCAGUUCAGGGCAAUUACAGGCACAGCUCAAGUAUUUACAGGACACAGCAUUGUAAGAGAACGACCUUUCCGGAAUUUCUGAGGGAACAGUUAGAUCCUGCCACGGUGGUGGCCCAUCAGCGGUGGGGAAAGACCAAUUGCUCCUGAGGGUGGAAAAUAAUUUUGCAGGUCAAGCUAGUGAGGGAUGGCAUUUCUGCUUGCACUACAUGCAAAGCUGAAUGAGCUUGCUACGGUAUUUUUUUUUCCAUGAUUUCCUCAUGACAAUGUUGUGGUUUACUUUAGCAGGGGGUGGAAAGCUGAUAAGUAUAAUUGCUGAAUCACAGGAUGUAUAGGAUGUAAAUAUUUGCAGGGCAAUUAAAAACCAUUUGCCUCUUUUGCUUCUUAAAGUAAAAGGCAUGACUCAACAGCAAGCGGGUGGAGAUUUUUUUUUUCAAAAAUGUAGACAAGAUUUCAAGUGGCGAGGAUAUGAAAUGGUUUAUUGAACACUGCUUCUGUGGUCUGGUCCGAUGUAAUGCUGGAGGAAAAAGAGCACAGUAUUGUGGAUUAGGAGAAAUGUGUCAUCAAAUAACUAAAAAUAACUUUCAAGAGAACACCCCGAGGUUAUAAAUGAUCACGGUGUGUGGUGCUGUCAAUUAUCAACCCAAGCAGGGGCAUCCUUUGCGGGGGGGGUGGUGGUGUCUAACCGCCAAGUCGCUAUUGUAACAAGCCAUGGAAGGUGCCUCAUUCACACCACCUGUAGGAUGGCAGUUAAAAUAGCCAUGUCAGUAGACUCACAGCUAAUAAUGCCAGUUUUCUGGUUGUUUCUACAAACAGUUUUUCUUUUCAGCUCUUAUCUGGUCCAUAUGUAAAGAUCUCCUAUGUCUCACUCUAUAUUCCAAGUAAUAUUUUGAUUGCAUUUGAUUCAUCAAUUGAAUUGCUAACAUUCUGAUCUUUACUACCAGUAGAGAUGGAAAAAAAAUUACAUUCUACAUAUGUAGAGCAUGUUGGGCUUGCAUGAGGUAGGAAAGAAGAGGAUUAAACAGUACUCUGAUACUCCUAUGGCAAGGUUAAAAUUCACACACUACAAUUUAGAUGUGCAGAAAUAGUCAUUUAUUAUGUCCUAGGACAGACCUCAUUUUGCCCUGGAUCAUCUAUUUCUCUGAUUAAAAAUGAAUUUUAUAUAUAUAUAUGUAUAUUCCAAGCAACCAAGCAAACAGAAAACCCCCGAUGAUGAAUGGUAACUUUGUCUCCUGUGGUUAUAAAGGCUCAGAUUAAUUCAAUCUCUUUAGGGUAUAAAUCAUCAUUUUGGAGUUUUGGGGGGUUUAAGAUUUUAUUCAUUUGAGAGAGAGAGAGAGAGAGCGAGCGCGCACCAACUGAGGGUGAGUGGGAGAGGGAGAGGUAGACACCCAAUGAGCAGGGAGCCUGACCCAGGGCUCAAUCCCAGAACUCUGGGAUCAUGACCUGAGCUAAAGGCAGACGCUUCACCGAUUGAGCCACCCAGGCACCCUCAUUUUGGAGUUCUUACCUCUUUUGUGCUAUUAGGAGCAUAUCUAAGGACAUACAAUCUCAUGGGCACAAGGAAAAGGGAACUUUGAUCCACACAGCACACACUGCUAGCCCUGCUGAUUCUAACUGAUGAAUAACCGGUGAGUCUUGGCAUAGGUCUCGCUCUGAAAUUUCAGCAUACAUUGUGGAUUAUGGCUCUAAGGUCUGUGUUCACAAGGUAAGCAGAGUGACUGCUCCCAUGAAGCUCAAUAAACUCCUUGUGGUUUCACAUUUUGAUUUUUGCUGGCAGCAUGGAUGCUUUGAAAUUUAGUGGCCUUUCCUUGGGGCUCUUUCACUUUGCACUGGUUUCCUCACUCCGAACCAGGACAACCCUUUUGCAGUUAAGCCUAAUUUUAUUUAGUUAUGCUUAUUUAAGAUUUUUUUUUUUUUUUGAGAAAGCAAACAGAGGGGAGGGGCAGAAGGAGAGGGAGAGA
rnacentral:lncRNA from 1 species